AGAAAUCAUUGGACCAGGAGGAGUCAAAUCCAGACCUGAUGGAGUGGGAAGCUGUGAGUGACUCAGAUUUGACGAUGGUGUGGCCUCUUGACCAGCUCUGAAUGGUGUAACUCUGGAAAGUGAUACUGAAUGCCUAAAUUUUCCCUCGGCUCUGGCCUUCUCUGCUGCCUCAGGAGAGAGAAUCAGCUCAGAGUCCAGUCGUGUCUGAACAGACUCCAGCGUCUUCCAGGAGUGAGCAACGUUUGACAAAUGCUAACACUCAGGGGAAUGUUCCAGAAAGAUGUUCUGGAGGAAAAGAGAUCGACAAAGCCAACACUCAGAGAGGAGCAAAAAUCAGAGGUUGGAAAAAAAGAUCCUGCGGCGUUCCCGUCCACAAAUCCAGCCGGCGUCUGAGCCCUGGCCGCGGUCUGGAGCUUAACUCAACAGAAACCUUGGAUCUGUGUAUAAAUUCUUCAUUUCAGCCUACAUUGCCUCCUCUGAGUUUCUAUUACAUGUCAAUAAACAUGUUCUCUGCAAAAGUUCUGGACAGAUCUUCAUCCAAAUGUUAUUAGUGGUUAUGAAUAUACAGUAGAAUAAUAGGCAUUUUUUCUUUUUAUGAUUUUCCACAAUUCCACAAUUCUGUAAAAUUAUUACUUUUACACAUGGAAAAUAUUCAUGAAGUUUAAAAAUCAAAAUGAAUAACAGUAUUUAGAUAUUUUUGAAUGAAAGUGAAUUUAUAGAAUUAUAGUGAUAUACACUCAUUUAUUACAAAUUUUAGAAGCUUUAAAACUAUGGAUACUUUCAUAUGUGUGCCAAAACACAUACACAUCCAAACCCACUCCCACACGUAUACACACAAGCUUCUUUUCAGCAUUUUCUAUAAAAGCACAACACUGCAAAAUUGUUUCAAACACAUACAAAUGUAUUCUUAAAAUAGCCACACACACAAAAAAACUAGUUACAAUUUUCAGCAUUUUCCAGAAACCAAAUUAACCCUACAAAAUGUUAUUCAAUUCCGCUUCUGUGUCUGCCAAUGGAUUAUGUGAUUAUGUGUGAGGGUGUACAAUGAAGCGUUUAGCUGCUACAUGUUCAAAAGUCCAUUUUUAAGAUUAAAAGAUUACAGAACUGAAAUAUAUUUGUUCAUGUGCCAAAAAUAGCUGUGCACUUAGAAGAAAAACUUCAUAGAUAUAUCAAAAACAAAAAGUAGUCUUUCUGUAAUUUCUGAAUUAAACUUUGUUCUCACUUAGAUAGAAUGAACAAAAUAUUAAAACUGCUGUGUUCUGAAGAUGAUAAUUUUCUGAUGUAACCUAGAAACUGGAAGCAAAUCCUACUACUAAAACAAAAUAGAAUUUUGUCUCGUGAUUUUCUUGAGAUUAAGUACAUUGAAAACCCUAGAUACCCGUUGAUCUCUGAUUAAAAAUAUACUUAAUGAGAUUUUUUUCCUUUAGAGUCAUUUGCUUUGAGAAGUAUGUAUCAUCUACUGUUCUUGACAUGAAUUCAGUCUACUCAUUUUCUACACGUACAAGCACGUACCCUGCUUUCCUGGGUACAGGAGGACAGUAAGCCAUAAAA
rnacentral:lncRNA from 1 species